UACAAUUUCUUCCCUGU
rnacentral:miRNA from 1 species